CAGCUGUCUGUCCAUGAAGAGUGACCAGUCUAUGGAUCCACCUAGAAACUUCAGAGAGGGAGACUUUUCUAUUGAACAAAGAAACCAACAGGAGAGAUCAGAGUCAGAGAUUCUCAGUGGUCAGUCUUCCCAGAGUCAUCAAACAGACCUGGCCCCUAUAUUCAGUUUGCUUGAAGAAAAUAUUAUCACAUUUGUGAAGAAC